AGACCCUUAACAGUUUGAGCCAUCCAGGUGCCCCUGGAAUUUUCUUAAAUGAUCAUGAGUUGGUCAGGGGUUAGCUUACAUCAACCUUAGUAAGUUUUGCUUAUGGUUCCCAGAGGUACAAACAAGAAAUAAACCAGGUCAGGUUGGUCUUGCAAAGUAAGCUGAAUUGAGCUUUGUUUGUAUCACCGGACUGGUUUUGUUUCCUUGGUGAAUUUGCAAAGCUGGUCUCUUUUUUUUUUUUUUUUUAAACAGACCCUAAAGUGAGCUCUCUCCUCCUUACAUUCCCUACCCCAAAAUACAGGCGAUCCCAGCCUCUCAAGGGUCUCAAUGUAGCUUGCUAACGUUUGGAAGUCUUGAACUGCAAGUCCUCUGCUAUUCCUAAAUAAACUCAUCUUUUUGACAUUUUUGCACUUGUCUCAGUUUUCCUCUUUAUUUUGGUUGACACCUUCUACCCAUCCCUAUCUGAUACUCAACACAUUUCUCACCCUGCUUUUCAUAUGCCACCUCUCAAUUUCCACUUCCACAAUCCUAAUUUAGGUUCCUUCUUAACUGUCACCUAUGCCAUGGCAAUCACUUGCUAUGGUUUCCCUUUCUUUCACUUCGCGUUCCUUUGAUCUAUGUAAAAACAUAUUUGCAUACAUAGUUUUCAAAAACAGCUCUGAUCACUGAUCUACUCCCACUCUGAAAUUUUCAAGUCUCCCACUUUCUCCAGAGUAAUCUACACAGCCAGUAAGCCACCAUUCUUGACAAAGUCUCAAUUUGUCUUUCAAAUUUCUUACCACUCCCUUUAACACUAAUAGUGGUCCUCAGACUUUGGUAUAAUCAGAAUCAUCCCUGAGGUUCCUUUCAAUAAUACAUCUGCCCGGGAUCCAACCCUAGGAUUUCUGAUUAGAUAGUCUGGGUUGUGCUCCAGGCUUUUUUGGUUUUUUGUUGUCUUUGAUGCUGGAGGACAUACAUACUAAGUUUCCUCCUGGUGUUUUCUAAAUCGCCGAAUUUUGAGAAACACUACACUCUUUCGACUUUACCUACAUUUCUAAGUUCCCCCGUGUUUUCUCAUUUAAUUCGGCGUCAAAUUAUUUCUUCUCCCAGAAUCUAUUUUCAAAACCUAUCUUAUCUUUCCAGAAUCAGUUCAAAUGCCACUUCUUCCAGGAAGUCUUUCCUGUUCUCCUGCGCAUUUCUUUGAUAUUUAGCUGCACUUUUCUUGUGGGAAGCGUAUCUAGGAUGCGCCCAAGAGCCCGAGCAGCCAAAAGAGUUCACAGGACGUAACAGGACACACUCCUCAUUCCACCCCAGCCCUCCAGCCCUCCCCCGGGAAUCGGCCAAGCGCAGUAAAUCCUACUGGAUCACUAUCAGAAUCGAUAAUUCUUCCCAGAAAUGCGGGACACAACUCUUUCCAGACGCCCUCCCCAGUUAUGAAACAAAGGACCUGAAGCCACAAAAGACGUCCCAAAGUCCAAGGGCAGGGAGUUGAGAGGCAGAGAAGAAUCGCACAACGGCUGAAAACGCACUAGCCUGAAAAUGGAGAGACCACUCUAAAGCAACACAAAAGACACUUCCGCCUUCCGGCCCACUCCUCACGUGACAGUUGCCUCGCCCUCCAAUUGGCUGCUCCUCGCACCCUCCCGACAGGACUUCACCCACGUGACCUGAUGGCGGCCGGAGAAUUGGUUGUCCGGCGGGGGCUACUGAACAGGAAAGGGGGUUCUCCGAGUGGCAGCAAGGCUGAGAAAGCGGGAAGCCGGACCGGGUGUACGACGGAGCCGAAAGGCUGACGGUUCGCCGCUAUGAGUCUCCGCAGGCCGGAUCAAACCUUCCGAGACCCGACGUAGGAGCUUGAGGGGUUCGGAGAGCGGGCUGCGGAUUCCUGCCCUUGGUUUGAGCGCUGGCUUCGGCCUUACUCGUAUUUCCCUGCAAGGACUGCCCGUCUCAGUCUUUACUGAAGUCGGUGGGGUUUGGACUUUAUUAUUAUUAUUUUGUUGAGGGUCCGUUGUAUGGGAGCACUGGGUGUCCAGCGCAGCGCGCCGUGGAGACCGCCAUGAGGUAGAAGCUAGGGGAGGGAGGGCUUAGAGAUGCUUAACCAAUGGUCUUUACCUACGUGCAGUAUUGCCGGUUGAGGUGAAAAAUCUGGCUUUGAUAUCUUCAUGGAGGACUACAUUAUUUCAAUCCUGCUGGUUCAGUUUCGUUAUUGACUUAUUACAAUAUUAAAAAUGUUUAAUUAACUGGUGUUUGUUUCGGUAAAACCUUGUGAUCUAAUAAGAAA